rnacentral:rRNA from 1 species
CACGUAGGGCGCAAGCGUUGUCCGGAAUUAUUGGGCGUAGAGAGCUCGUAGGCGGUCUGUUACGUCUGCUGUGAAAACCCGGGGCUUAACCCUGGGCUUGCAGUGGAUACGGGCAGACUAGAGGCAGGUAGGGGAGAAUGGAAUUCCCGGUGUAGCGGUGAAAUGCGCAGAUAUCGGGAGGAACACCGGUGGCGAAGGCGGUUCUCUGGGCCUGACCUGACGCUGAGGAGCGAAAGCGUGGGGAGCGAACAGG